AAAAAAUUGGGCCGUUAGUCUACCGAGUAAUUUACCUGCUCGGUGGAAGAUCAUCCCUAUGUCGU
rnacentral:pre_miRNA from 1 species